GACGUAGGGGGCCAGCGUUGUUCGGAAUUACUGGGUGUAAAGGGUUCGUAGGCGGUGUGGCAAGUCGGGAGUGAAAUCUCUGGGCUCAACCCAGAGUCUGCUUCCGAAACUGCUGUGCUUGAGUGUGGGAGAGGCGCGUGGAAUUGCAGGUGUAGCGGUGAAAUGCGUAGAUAUCUGCAGGAACACCCGUGGCGAAAGCGGCGCGCUGGACCACUACUGACGUGAGGAACGAAAGCUAGGGGAGCAAACAGG
rnacentral:rRNA from 1 species